UUGUAGGAUGUCAUUCUAGUGGUGUUAAGUGUUUUUAAAAACCAAGACACUCUCUAACUACUGUUUGUCCUCUGCUUAAGGUUUCUAUCCUAUGCUUCUUGUUGUAAUUAGAAACAUGCAAUGAAUAAUAACUUGUAUUCUUUCUAUAAAUUAUCAUUCUUUGUAGAAGAACCCAUAUAACUAAACAAAGACAUGCUGUGUAAAACAAAGACCUAGGGAAUGUUCCUACAAACAUUAAGAAAUGUCACUGGAUCUGUUGUUGCUCUUUCCCUAACUGUACUAGAAUGGCAUGUACCAUAGGUCUCUUUUCCAGCCUGGAUUAAAAAAAUAAGACAGAGAGCCGCUGCAGCCAACCUGUGUCAACCUGCAAGGCAUUUGGGAAUUAAGCUGUUAUAAGGCACCAAGAUGAAGCUGUGAAGUCACUGUUGGCUGUAGAAGCAGUAAUGUUUGUGAACUGGAAAAACUUCCAAAUUAAGAGGACACGGAAGAAAUCAGGGAUGAAAAAUGAAGAUAACCCAAAGGAGGGACUUUGAUGAAGAUGCUCUUUCUUAGAUAAAUGGCCUUGUUGAUGCAGGCCUCUGUGCUGAGCUCUGAGAAGACUGGCAGCUGACACUAAGGAGUGGAGAUGGGCUGGAAGAAA